AUAUAAACUUAGAAAUGUGCUAUUUUGGAGAUUUGCCCUUUAUAAAACACACAAAAAUACAUAUCUAAAAUUAAUAAAUCUACCUUUAAAUGAGUGGAAGAUGAGAACCAUGUGAUGAAAAAAUCUGCAAAACAAGAUAAACUAGUGAGAAAGACAUGAGACAAAAACAAUAAAUUGAUAUAAAGUUUGGUGUUUAUAAGUUCAAAGAGAUUAGAGAGAGGUUGAAGAGUUUUAGAAUGAGAAACAUACCAUUUUUGUUGCAGCCAUUUGAGAGGAGGAGAGAGAAUGUGUACAUUUUUCUUUAUAUAUGGAGGCAAAAAUUUCAAUUAGGUUAAAUAUUUUCGAUGAGAAUACUUACUAGACGACUUAUUUGUAAGUCGUUCAGAAGACUUCAAUAUUUUUACCGGGAAGCUAAAAUAUUUUUAGCGGGAGUCAGAAGACUUUCAGAGAAGUUUUUUAAUCGGCAGACGACUUACAUGUUAGUUGUCUAGACCCUAAACAUAACCCCUAAACUAAAUUAACUAAAUAAACAUUUCAUAAAAUCAAAUUAAACUUAAAAAUUGUUUACUAUACACAGAAAUAAUCACAUGUAGGUAA
rnacentral:lncRNA from 1 species